rnacentral:lncRNA from 1 species
GUUCGAUUAUUGAGGGUUCUAUUUUCAGCCAAAUUUAUUUUUCCGAAAAUUGUAUUAUUCUUUUUUAUUUGUUUCCACUAGAAUAUCCUUUUCAAAAUUAUCUCAACAGUUUUUUAGUAUUAUUCGAUUUUAAUUCCUUCUGUUUUCUGUUUUUUUUACUUCUGUAAUUUUAUUUUAUUUUUCCGAAAAUUGUAUUAUUUUUUUUGUUUGUUUCCUUUAAUAUAAGGAUUCUCCUAAAAAACAAUUAGAUUUGCUUCCACACAUAUUAUAUGUUCCAAAAUUUCUAUUAUUUAUUUUUUUUCGAAAAUGGUGAUUUUUGAAUUUUUCUCCACUAAUAAUUAAGUAAGAUUAAUACUUGUAAAUAAUGAAAGAAUUUUUUUUUACUUUAAUU